UCUUCACUUUCUCAAAGCGAGUUGUUCUCUUACCUGCAAGUUCUCUCUCAUUCAAAGUCCACAUUUUUUGAUAGAUCAUGCAUUAGGUUAAGUUGAAACAGCUGGGUUCAGAGAGAUAUGCUGUCAGGUUCCAGAGUUGUAACGUUGUUUUGUCACCUCUAUACUUUGAACUCUUCUACUGUAGCAUGAGCUGUUAUACUCAACACUGAAGCUAGUAAAAAAAUUGAGGCCCACGAAAUUUCCUGCAUUUCAAAAAAUAUUUUGUUAAAUUUCACACCGAAACAGGUCCCAAAUUCAAGUGAAAUUUCAAAGCAGUCUGAAAGAAUUCAUCAGAAAUUUUACUGGCAGCAGAGGAUACUGAACUCCGGUAGUCUGCUGAACACAUAUCGUAAUUAAUUGCCUAGAACAGAUGACAGUUGUUACUUGAUGCUUCGGCUAAUACAGAAGUUCAGACCAGCAAUGUCGUUCAUCACCUCGAAGACUUUGCGCCAGCCGCUGCGGAUGUCGCUCCUUCUCCGUCGGCGACUGUGCCACUCCACCCACUGGCCCCAGCAGCGUCGCCGCAAGCACCAACUGCCGCACCAUGUGCCGUCACCGGAAUCGAAGGUGACUACGAGAAAGGGUCAAUAGGUCACCGUAAUGGGGACUGACAGCAUGAACCCACCAACGGGAGUCACGCACGUUUCUGGGCUGGGCUCAAAGCGGGAGACACUGACCUUGCCUGAUGGAACUGACUGAUAAAAUGAGAAACCUCGCAGCAGCCGAUCAGGCCCGUAUGGGGGGCAUGUGCUGGAUGUGUAACUGAAGAAAAUGGAGCCC
rnacentral:lncRNA from 1 species